rnacentral:tRNA from 1 species
GACUCUUUCGUCUAAUGGUUAGGACACCACCCUUUCACAGUAGUAACACGGGUUCAAGUCCCCUAAGAGUCA